GUCUUCGAGGAGCGUUGCGACGGGUACCGCGAAUCCCUAUAUUCGCCGGCCGCCCGCCAGGCUCGAAGGCUUCAAUCGGAGGGGAGAAUGCGCAUAGCGCUUUUCCACCCACCGCAUCGAACCGCGCUCACGUCAA
rnacentral:ncRNA from 1 species